rnacentral:rRNA from 1 species
UUAGUCUUAUAAUUGAAGACUGGAAUGAAAGAAUAAACUGAAAAAGCUCUUUCUUGGUUUUUUUCUUUUAAUUUUACCUUCUAGUGAAAAGGCUAGAAUGGAUCUUUUAGACAAGAAGACCCUAUAAAGCUUUACAUAAAAUAAUCUAAGAAAUUAAAAAUAUGUUUUACUGGGGCGGUAAGAAGAAAAACACUUUAAGUCUUUGUAAAUGAUAUAAUUUUUAUACCCAAAAAUUUUGAAAAUUAAAUAAGCUACUUUAGGGAUAACAGCGUUAUAUAUUUUGAAAGUUCAAAUUGACAAAUAUGUUUGCGACCUCGAUGUUGGAUUACUUUUCCUUUAUUAUGCAAGAG